rnacentral:rRNA from 1 species
UACGUAGGGGGCAAGCGUUGUCCGGAAUCAUUGGGCGUAAAGCGCGUGUAGGCGGCCAGGUAAGUCCGUCCUGAAAGCCCGGGGCUCAACCCCGGGAGGCGGAUGGAUACUGCUUGGCUCGAGUCCGGAAGAGGCGAGUGGAAUUCCCGGUGUAGCGGUGAAAUGCGCAGAUAUCGGGAGGAACACCAAUGGCGAAGGCAGCUCGCUGGGACGGUACUGACGCUGAGACGCGAAAGCGUGGGGAGCAAACAGG